GUGUGUUCAUGACGGUUUGUCUUGAAACUCAACAGAGGAAGCAGACCUGAUAUCUAACACUC
rnacentral:ncRNA from 1 species